CCAGCAGAUUUCUUUGGCAUUCUGUCCACCUCCAUAUUCAUUGAUCUAUGUAUCUCACUGUUGUGUAAAUGUGUAAUUAGGGUUUAUUGGUUUGAUAAGAAAAGAGAAAUAAUCUAGUGCAAGAUUUUGUUUUCUUUUUCUUGUGUGUGUAAUCUGUGUUUAGUUAAGAGUGUGGAGGUGGGCAUACUGUCAAUGGAGCUCUGU
rnacentral:miRNA from 1 species